GUACGGUCGCAAGAUUAAAACUCAAAGAAAUUGACGGGGGCCUGCACAAGCGGUGGAGUAUGUGGCUCAAUUCGAUGCAACGCGAAGAACCUUACCUGGCCUUGACAUGCAUAUAGUAGAAGGGUGAAAGCCCGACGAGGUAGCAAUACCAGUAUGCACAGGUGCUGCAUGGCUGUCGUCAGCUCGUGUCGUGAGAUGUUGGGUUAAGUCCCGCAACGAGCGCAACCCUUGUGUCCUGUUGCGACCCGGCCGAGAGGCUGGAGCACUCUGGACAGACUGCCUCGCUUAAACGAGGAGGAAGGUGGGGAUGACGUCAAGUCAGUAUGGCCCUUACGGCCAGGGCUGCACACGUACUACAAUGCCCGGCACAGAGGGAAGCCAGACCGUCAGGUGGAGCAAAUCCCCCAAAACCGGGCCCAGUUCAGAUUGUCGUCUGCAACUCGACGGCAUGAAGCUGGAAUCGCUAGUAAUGGCGCAUCAGCUACGGCGCCGUGAAUACGUUCCCAGGCCUUGUACACACCGCCCGUCACAUCAUGAAAGCCGUUUGUACCCGAAGUCGCCCCUCAAAAGGUGCCGAAGGUAUGGAUGGUGAUUGGGAUG
rnacentral:rRNA from 1 species